AAACUAACAAGGAUUCCCCUAGUAACGGCGAGCGAAGCGGGAAGAGCUCAAAUUUGAAAAGCUGGCACCUUCGGUGUCCGCGUUGUAAUCUCGAGACGUGUUUUCCGUGUGGCGCUAUGGACAAGUCCCUUGGAACAGGGCAUCGUAGAGGGUGAAAAUCCCGUACUUGCCAUGGAUGUACCAUGCUUUGUGAUACACGCUCUAAGAGUCGAGUUGUUUGGGAUUGCAGCUCAAAAUGGGUGGUAGACUCCAUCUAAAGCUAAAUAUCGGGGAGAGACCGAUAGCGAACAAGUACCGUGAGGGAAAGAUGAAAAGCACUUUGGAAAGAGAGUUAAAAGUACGUGAAAUUGUCGAAAGGGAAGCGCUUGAAGUCAGCCAUGCUGCUUGAGACUCAGCCUUGCUUUUGCUUGGUGUAUUUCUCGGUAGCAAGCCAGCAUUGGUUUGAGUCGUCGGAGAAGGGUAUGAGAAAUGUGGCAUCCUCGGAUGUGUUAUAGGCUUGUACUGGAUACGACGAUUUGGAUCAAGGAACGCAGUGUGCCUCUGGCGGGUCUUCGGACACCUUCACACUUAGGAUGCUGGCGUAAUGGCUUUAAGCGGC
rnacentral:rRNA from 1 species